ensembl:misc_RNA Y_RNA Y RNA
GGUUGGUCCAAAUGCAGUGGUGUUUACAACUAAUUGAUCACAACCAGUUACAGAUUCCUUUGUUCUUUGUUCACUUCCACUACUUUGCUUGACCAGCCUUAA